GUAGGGGGCGAGCGUUGUCGGAUUUAUUGGGCGUAAAGAGCUCGUAGGCGGUUGCGUAAGUCGGGAUGUGAAAACUCAGGGGCUCAACCCUGAGAUGCCAUUCGAUACUGCGCUGACUCGAGUCCGGUAGGGGAGCAUGGAAUUCCUGGUGUAGCGGUGAAAUGCGCAGAUAUCAGGAGGAACACCAGUGGCGAAGGCGGUGCUCUGGGCCGGUACUGACGCUGAGGAGCGAAAGCAUGGGUAGCAAACAGGAUUAGAUACCCUGGUAGUCCAUGCCGUAAACGUUGGGCACUAGGUGUGGGGCCUACUUAACGGGUUCCGUGCCGUAGCUAACGCAUUAAGUGCCCCGCCUGGGGAGUACGGCCGCAAAGGCUA
rnacentral:rRNA from 1 species